UCCCGAUUUGGGAGGCUUGCCUGCCCAGUGACAACUGUUUAACGGCCGCGGUAUCCUGACCGUGCAAAGGUAGCAUAAUCAUUUGUUCUCUAAAUAAGGACUUGUAUGAAUGGCCGCACGAGGGUUUUACUGUCUCUUACUUCCAAUCAGUGAAAUUGACCUUCCCGUGAAGAGGCGGGAAUGCACAAAUAAGACGAGAAGACCCUAUGGAGCUUUAACUAACCAACCCAAAGAGAAUAGAUUUAACCAUUAAGGAAUAACAACAAUCUCCAUGAGUUGGUAGUUUCGGUUGGGGUGACCUCGGAGAAUAAAAAAUCCUCCGAGCGAUUUUAAAGACUAGACCCACAAGUCAAAUCACUCUAUCGCUCAUUGAUCCAAAAACUUGAUCAACGGAACAAGUUACCCUAGGGAUAACAGCGCAAUCCUAUUCAAGAGUCCAUAUCGACAAUAGGGUUUACGACCUCGAUGUUGGAUCAGGACAUCCUGAUGGUGCAACCGCUAUCAAAGGUUCGUUUGUUCAACGAUUAAAGUCCUACGUGAUCUGAGUUCAGACCGGA
rnacentral:rRNA from 1 species